GACGAAUGCUGGCUGCGUGCUUAACACAUGCAAGUCGAACGGUGAAGGAGGGCUUGCCCUCCGGAUCAGUGGCGAACGGGUGAGUAACACGUGGGCAACCUGCCCCUCACUCUGGGAUAACGCCGGGAAACCGGCGCUAAUACCGGAUACGACCAGAAGCGACAUCUCUUCUGGUGGAAAGAACUUCGGUGAGGGAUGGGCCCGCGGCCUAUCAGCUAGUUGGUGAGGUAACGGCCCACCAGGGCAACGAUGGCUAGGGGGUCUGAGAGGAUGGUCCCCCACACUGGUACUGAGACACGGACCAGACUCCUACGGGAGGCAGCAGUGAGGAAUAUUGGUCAAUGGGCGGAAGCCUGAACCAGCCAUGCCGCGUGCGGGAUGAAGGCCCUACGGGUUGUAAACCGCUUUUCCCCGGGAAGAAUAACCCCGAUGAGUCGGGGGAUGCCGGUACCGGGGGAAUAAGGAUCGGCUAACUCCGUG
rnacentral:rRNA from 1 species